UACGUAGGGGGCAAGCGUUGUCCGGAAUCAUUGGGCGUAAAGAGCGUGUAGGCGGUCCGGUAAGUCGGCUAUGAAAGUCCAGGGCUCAACCCUGGGAUGCCGGUCGAUACUGCCGGACUAGAGUUCGGAAGAGGCGAGUGGAAUUCCCGGUGUAGCGGUGAAAUGCGCAGAUACCGGGAGGAACACCUAUGGCGAAGGCAGCUCGCUGGGACGUUACUGACGCUGAGACGCGAAAGCGUGGGGAGCAAACAGG
rnacentral:rRNA from 1 species